UAGGAUAGAGGCCUACCAUGGUGGUAACGGGUAACGGGGUGUUAGGGCACGACACCGGAGAGGGAGCCUGAGAAACGGCUACCACAUCCAAGGAUGGCAGCAGGCGCGCAAAUUACCUAAUCCCGACACGGGGAGGUAGUGACAAUAAAUAACAAUACGGGGUUCUUUCGGAUCUCGUAAUUGGAAUGAGUACAAUUUAAAUCUCUUAACGAGGAACAAUUGGAGGGCAAGUCUGGUGCCAGCAGCCGCGGUAAUUCCAGCUCCAAUAGCGUAUAUUAAAGUUGUUGCAGUUAAAAAGCUCGUAGUUGAAUUUCGGGGUUAGUAGGUUGGUCAUGCCUCUGGUAUGUACUGGUCUCACUGAUUCCUCCUUCCUUAUGAACCGUAAUGCCAUUAAUUUGGUGUUGCGGGGAAUUUGGACUGUUACUUUGAAAAAAUUAGAGUGUUUAAAGCAAGCUAACGCUUGAAUACAUUAGCAUGGAAUAAUGAAAUAGGACGUUCGAUCUUAUUUUGUUGGCUUCUAGGAUUGACGUAAUGAUUAAUAGGGAUAGUUGGGGGCAUUAGUAUUCAAUUGUCAGAGGUGAAGUUCUUGGAUUUAUUGAAGACUAACUACUGCGAAAGCAUUUGCCAAGGAUGUUUUCAUUAAUCAAGAACGAAAGUUAGGGGAUCGAAGACGAUCAGAUACCGUCGUAGUCUUAACCAUAAACUAUGCCGACUAGGGAUCGGAUGAU
rnacentral:rRNA from 1 species